GGUAAGGUGGCCGAGCGUCUAGGCGGUGGGCUGUAGUCCCAUAAACAAGGGUUUAACUCCUUUUCUUAUCA
rnacentral:tRNA from 1 species